UCAGUUUACUCAGAGAGACGGAUCAACGAGGGAAAGGAAUCAGCUAAAGAAAAAAAUCUCUAGGGGAAGGGGAGGGAAAAGGACAAAGAAAGAAGAGAAUCCCUAGGGAAUAGGGAAGGAAGAGAGAAGAGAAGGAAGAGAACAGAAGAAAUGAAGCAGCAAAAGAAAUAAAAAGUGUUGUUGUAUAGCGAUGACAGAUCUGGUAGAGGUAUUCCAAGGGGGACUAGAAGGUUAGAGAAGGGAGAUACUGGACAAUAAUAAUUAAGGUGUAGUGGAGAAGAAGAAAAGUGCAGAAGAGGAGGAGAGGUAUGGGAACUAGAGGGGCGGAGAGCUUUUUGCACGGUGGCCCGGCGAGAGGUGGCGGAAGCCAUAGCAACCGAGAGGGUUGUCACGCUCGGUCCUGUACCUAGUUCGAGGAGUUGUGCCAAGCUUGGAUUUUUAUCCGACGGCAAAAGGCACAGUAAUCCGUCCACGCCGCGGCUCGUGUUAGCGCCAGAGCUUCGCGAGCCCCAGUCAUUGCAGCCGGUACUACCGUCGGAGUCGCAACACUGCUCUGUUUCAUAGAAAGGCCUUCUCUACACCUUUGUCUCCGAGAUCCCCUUCUAAAUUUGCCCUCUUCAAGAACUUCUCCAAGAGUCGUUGCCGGAUUUGUUCGCAAAGCCCGAAGGUGAGCUAGGGGACGCCGGUGUUUAAGGCGGAGUGUUCCCACACCUUCCACUGCCACUUCCCCUGUAUUACUGCCGACGUCAAGAGCCACAACCAUCUCAGCUGCUUGUGUGUUGCACUGCCUAGCUCCAGGAAUCCUUCCUCUUGGUCAUGAACCGCCGUGACGAAGACACAGAGCGAAGGAUGGUUGGUGAGGCAGAUAACCGGAAUCCGGAAUCCCAAUCGGAGAACCUAUGGCGGAGGUAGAAGCGGUACAACCCAAGGUAGUGAGAAAUGGUUUGGCGUGAACAAAGCCGUGAGGAGACGCUGCUAGUAAACCGAGCGGUCAUGAGGGGACGUCGUUAUUCGCGAGUGGCCGUGAGGAGACCUGUGUUUUGGCCAAUUGCGUAGGACUAUCGGCGACUCGCGAGGUUGAGGACAGGACGUGAGAGAUGACGAGAAGGAAAGAAUGGUGUUCCGCCCGAUUUUGGGUGGAUAAAAAUUUGUUAACAAUUCAAUCGGUGGAUGGAUUCAUAAAUCCAUCCUUCGACUAUUUCAAAGUAAGUAAACAAGGGAAACGAUUAAUAGUC